UGAAUACGAGAUGCUACGGCGUCGAAGCAGUCUAUGUCAUACUUCCAAGAAAAGCUCGCACUGUCAUAAACACAUAAUGCCUGUACCAUAACCGACACAGGUGGGUAGGUAGAGUAUACUAAGGGGCGCGAGAUAACUCUCUCUAAGGAACUCGGCAAAAUGACUCCGUAACUUCGGGAGAAGGAGUGCCUUAUUUAUAAGGUUGCAAUAACAAGAUCCAAGCAACUGUUUAUCAAAAACACAGGUCUCCGCUAAGUCGUAAGACGAUGUAUGGGGGCUGACGCCUGCCCAGUGCCAGAAGGUUAAAGAAGUUGGUUAGCAUUCGCGAAGCUGAUAACUGAAGCCCUGGUGAACGGCGGCCGUAACGAUAACGGUCCUAAGGUAGCGAAAUUCCUUGUCGGGUAAGUUCCGACCCGCACGAAAGGCGUAAUGAUUUGGAUACUGUCUCGGAGAGGGGCUCGGUGAAAUAGACUUGUCUGUGAAGAUGCGGACUACCUGCACCAGGACAGAAAGACCCUAUGAAGCUUUACUGUAACUUGAGAUUGAAAUUGGACUUUACUUGCGCAGUAUAGGUGGGAGGCGUUGAUAAUAUUCUUGCGGGAUUAUUUGAGCCAUCAGUGAGAUACCACUCUUGUAAUGUUAGAUUUCUAACUUUGUAUCAUUAUCUGGUCAAAGGACAGUUUCAGGCGGGCAGUUUGACUGGGGCGGUCGCCUCCUAAACGGUAACGGAGGCGCACAAAGGUUUCCUCUGAACGGGUAGAAAUCGUAUCUAGAGUGUAAAGGCAUAAGGAAGCUUGACUGUGAGACCUACAAGUCGAGCAGGGACGAAAGUCGGUCUUAGUGAUCUGACAGUGCUGAGUGGAAAGGCCGUCACUCAACGGAUAAAAGUUACUCUAAGGAUAACAGGCUGAUCUCCCCCAAGAGUUCACAUCGACGGGGAGGUUUGGCACCUCGAUGUCGGCUCAUCGCAUCCUGGGGCGGUAGUACGUCCCAAGGGUUGGGCUGUUCGCCCAUGAAAGCGGUACGCGAGCUGGGUUCAGAACGUCGUGGGACAGUUCGGUCCAUAUCCGGUGUAGGCGUUAGAAUAUUGAGAGGAGCCUUCUUUAGUACGAGAGGACCGAGAAGGACAUACCUCUGGUGUACCAGUUAUCGUGCCAACGGUAAACGCUGGGUAGCUAUGUAUGGAGUGGAUAACCGCUGAAAGCAUCUAAGUGGGAAGCCCACCUCAAGAUAAG
rnacentral:rRNA from 1 species